rnacentral:rRNA from 1 species
AUACGGAGGAUCCGAGCGUUAUCCGGAUUUAUUGGGUUUAAAGGGUGCGCAGGCGGCCAUUUAAGUCAGCGGUUAAAUCGUGGGGCUCAACCCCAUUCUGCCGUUGAUACUGGGUGGCUUGAUUGCGGUCGAGGUUGGCGGAAUUCGUUGUGUAGCGGUGAAAUGCAUAGAUAUGACGAAGAACACCGAUUGCGUAGGCAGCUGACCAGAUCGCAAAUGACGCUCAUGCACGAAAGUGCGGGGAUCGAACAGGAUUAGAUACCCUGGUAGUCCGCACAGUAAACGAUGAAUACUUGUUUUCGGCGAUAUAAUGUCGGAGGCAAAGCGAAAGCGAUAAGUAAUCCACCUGGGGAGUACGUCGGCAACGAUGAAACUCAAAGGAAUUGACGGGG